GAUUAACGCUGGCGGCGUGCAUAACACAUGCAAGUCGAACGAUGAAACUCAGUAGACUUCUUCGGAAAGACACUAAGCGGUAUAGUGGCGAACGGGUGAGUAACGCGUGAGUAACCUGCCUUACACAAGGGGAUAGCCUUUGGAAACGAAGCAUAAUACCCUAUAAAACCAUAAAAGCACAUGCUAGAAUGGUCAAAGUGAUAGCGGUGUAAGAUGGACUUGCGUAUGAUUAGCUAGUUGGUGAGAUAAAAGCUCACCAAGGCAACGAUCAGUAGCCGGCUUGAAAGAGUGUACGGCGCCAUUGAGAUUGAGCCACGGCCCAUACUGGUACGGGAAGUAGCAGUGCUGAAUUUAUCACAACGUGGGAAAUCCCGAUGCGGCGCGUCCGCGUUAAUUAGAAGGCGUUCGUGUUGUAAAAUUCUUUUGUAUAGAAAGAAAAUGACAGUACUAUACGAAUAAGGUCCGGCUAACUACGUG
rnacentral:rRNA from 1 species